rnacentral:rRNA from 1 species
CAUGCUUAACACAUGCAAGUCGAACGGCAGCGCGGGGAGCUUGCUCCCUGGCGGCGAGUGGCGGACGGGUGAGUAACUGCGUGGCGAAUCUGCCCAGUAGUGGGUGGACAACCCGGGGAAACCCGGUGCUAAUACCGAUACGCCCUACGGGGGA